GAUGAACGCUGGCGGCGUGCCUAAUACAUGCAAGUCGAGCGAACAGACGAGGAGCUUGCUCCUCUGACGUUAGCGGCGGACGGGUGAGUAACACGUGGAUAACCUACCUAUAAGACUGGGAUAACUUCGGGAAACCGGAGCUAAUACCGGAUAAUAUAUUGAACCGCAUGGUUCAAUAGUGAAAGACGGUUUUGCUGUCACUUAUAGCUGGAUCCGCGCCGCAUUAGCUAGUUGGUAAGGUAACGGCUUACCAAGGCAACGAUGCGUAGCCGACCUGAGAGGGUGAUCGGCCACCCUGGAACUGAGACACGGUCCAGACUCCUACGGGAGGCAGCAGUAGGGAAUCUUCCGCAAUGGGCGAAAGCCUGACGGAGCAACGCCGCGUGAGUGAUGAAGGUCUUCGGAUCGUAAAACUCUGUUAUUAGGGAAGAACAAAUGUGUAAGUAACUAUGCACGUCUUGACGGUACCUAAUCAGAAAGCCACGGCUAACUACGUG
rnacentral:rRNA from 1 species